ACGGGAGGCAGCAGUGAGGAAUAUUGGUCAAUGGAGGCAACUCUGAACCAGCCAUCUCGCGUGAAGGAAUACGGCCCUACGGGUCUUAAACUUCUUUUAUAGGGGGAUAAAGUGAGCCACGUGUGGCUUUUUGUAGGUACCCUAUGAAUAAGCAUCGGCUAACUCCGUGCCAGCAGCCGCGGUAAUACGGAGGACGCGAGCGUUAUCCGGAUUUAUUGGGUUUAAAGGGUGCGCAGGCGGCACGUUAAGUCAGCGGUGAAAUGUCGGGGCUCAACCCGGGCACUGCCGUUGAAACUGGCGAGCUUGAGUACGGAUGAAGUCGGCGGAAUGUGAUGUGUAGCGGUGAAAUGCUUAGAUAUGACGAAGAACACCGAUUGCGUAGGCAGCAGACCAGGCCGUAAAUGACGCUCAUGCACGAAAGUGCGGGGAUCGAACAGGAUUAGAUACCCUGGUA
rnacentral:rRNA from 1 species